UGAAAGAGUCUCCCUGGAGCGGCUGUGGGGGUUAGUGGCGUGCGCGCUCUCUGGGAGCUGGGCACGCGCUCCGGGUGCCGGUUGGCGAGCGGUGGUCGGCUGCCCGCGGCCGGGAUGUACCACAGCAGCACGCAGAGGCGGCACUGGACCUUCCGCAGUGAGGAGGACCUGGGCCGCUGCCGAGCCGACGCCAACCGCCAGUUCCGCUGCAAAGCGGUGGCCUGCGGAAAGGCUCGGCAGAGCGACUCGCUGCUUCUGGAGCCCCGGGAGGAGCUGACAAUCUGUAAAUAUUAUGAGAAGAAACUGCUGGAUUUCUGCUCCGUGUUCAAACCUGCCAUGCCCAGAUCCGUGGUGGGAACAGCGACUAUGUACUUCAAACGUUUUUACCUCAAUAACUCAGUGAUGGAGUAUCACCCUCGAAUAAUAAUGUUAACAUGUGCAUUCUUGGCAUGUAAAGUAGAUGAAUUUAAUGUGUCCAGUGCACAGUUUGUUGGUAACCUUCGAGAGAACCCUCCAGGUCAGGAGAAGGCUCUUGAACAGAUUUUGGAAUAUGAAUUACUACUUAUUCAACAGCUGAACUUCCAUCUUAUAGUGCACAACCCUUAUAGACCAUUUGAGGGAUUUUUAAUUGAUUUGAAGACUCGUUAUCCAUUGCUGGAGAAUCCUGAGGUCUUGAGGAAAACAGCUGAUGACUUUCUCAAUCGAGUAGCUCUGACAGAUGCCUACCUUCUAUUUACACCUUCACAAAUAGCUCUCACUGCUAUCUUAUCUAGUGCUUCCAGGGCAGGAAUUAAUAUGGAAAGCUAUUUAUCAGAAUGUCUUCUGUUGAAAGAAAACAGAACUUCUCUGUCCCAGUUACUAGAUGGAAUGAAAUGCAUGAAAAAUCUCAUAAAGAAGUAUGAACCACCACGGCCUGAGGAGGUUGCCGCUCUAAAGCAGAAGUUAGAGAAAUGUCACAGCUCAGAACUUGCUCUUAAUGCAAACUUAAAGAAGAGAAAGGGCUAUGAAGAUGAUGACUAUAUUACAAAGAAAUCUAAAAUGGAUGAGACAUUGCCAAAGCAUGAGGAUGCAGGUUCCCUGAGAAGAACUCUCCAUUGUUAAGUUGGUGGAAGGACCCUUUCCAGUCCUAGAUGGAGUCCUGGUCAAGUUGGAUUCUGAAUUGGCAAAGGAAGAGAGGGAAAGUUGAGUCCUCUGCCCUUUAUGUCCUUAGUGAGAGAGAGGAUAUCCAGGGUACAGGCACAGCCCCUGUGGACACUGUUGGCCAAAAUAAUCUGAUCUCAGGAGUAUGCAUACCACAUGUGGACAACACCAAAAAAAACAGAAUUACUGUGGGGAAGAAUGGACUGAUGAUGAUCUUGUAGAUUCACUAGGAUUUUAAAGGAAGAUGGCACCUAGCAGAACUUCAGGAACUACUUGUCAUCCAUCUACUGCAUCAUGUUGGAGUCUCAUUUGUUAGCUGGAGAAAGUUUUUACAACUUGUAGCAGGUUCCCAGUUUGUCAUGGGAUAGAGAUGAACUGCCUCUUUAUAAUAAAUUGAUUUGUAUUUUAUUAAAUGUGACUAGUCACUUCAACAUGAUUAUAUAUAACUUACUUGUUUUUGAAAGAGAGCAUUCUAGAAUCAGACAUGCAUUUUCCUGAAGAGAUUUUCAUGCCUGACUUUUAAUCUUGCUUGAACUUCUAAUGCAUUAACAAUUGAUGGUAAGUGGGUGGUAGAGUAUAUGCCAUGUUGUCUUCUAAUUAGCAGCAUUCCCUGUCAGUUUUUCAGGAUCACUAGGAAAUCAAGUGCACUCUCACAAUGAUGUGCAAGAAACACCUGUAAAGUGUGGGCCAGUGUCAUAAGAUACCUACAGGUGCUGGUGGUCAGAAAUUCUUACAGGUCAGAAUACUGAAUUUGUAAGCUAAAUAUUUCAGAGACGCUUCAAAGCUGCCCUGAACUCUACCUGGCAGGCUGCAGGGGAGCCUGGGCUUCCACCCACUUUGCCUAGUGGGCUGCUGUAGCACAAAACUCCAUAGCUCCCCUGCAGGUCCACCAGGUGUACUGAGAGAGCCUAAAAACACGGAGCAAGGGACCCUUAAAAUAGGGGCUCUGUUGCCUUUCAGAGAACUUAGGAAUUUGGUUUUGCUCCACACUAGAACAAACCCAAAACUCUAGAAGAGCAGUACCUUCCUUUGAAUACUUAGAUAGCUUACUAUUCUGUAAUAUCACUAUUGAUGUACCAUACCUUUGUUGAAGAGCAGCAGCACUAAGUGGCCUUUAAGGUUUAAGAUACUUAUCAACUCCCGUGCGCCAUGAAACCUGUUUCAAAAAGAGCCCAUGGUGAAAUUUGGCAAUAGAAAAUGGAACAUCAUGAAAUAACUUUUUGAAGGGGGAAACCUUACCCUCCCUUUCAGUUAUGGAGCACAUGGCUAAACUAAAGUCAGGACAAAUAUUUGUGAAUACACCAGUACUACAGCACAAACCCUGAGCAUAGACC